AUGGCCCACAUAUCAGAUAUUAAACUGAUAAGAACAGAUACUACACUUGAUCUUAGCCAAAAGGCCGAGAAAGGUAUGCCUCUCCCUUCUGCCGUGGGUCUGGUUAUAUAG
rnacentral:rRNA from 1 species